UUUUUUUUUUUUUUUGUAACUUGGCUUUCAUUCAUAACAUAAAGAGAAAAAGAAAAAUAUUACAAGCCCAAGGCUAGUGUUUAGAAGAGAGUUUGAUAUUGAUUUCCAAAAAAGGCCUGAACCUUAGAAUCUCAAAGUGAACUAUCAUGCGACCCAUUUGAGCCCAAAAGUAGGUGGGGAGUUAGCGGUUGGGAGGCGAAGCGGUUUAAUGCACUUGCGGAGAGAUCAAAGUUUUGAUAAAGGUUAUGAGAUGAAAGUUAUGGGGUCUCGAACCAUCUUUGCAACAUCCUUGACGCGAGGGAAGGGCUUGUCUCACGGAAGCUUUGAAUCUUGUUACGAACCUGACGGUCGAUGAGGGUGAGAAUGACGUCAACCGAACGGAAAACGCCUGAGUGAAGACGUGCGUUCCGUUCGUUCCAGAGCCAGUAGAGGGCGGCUUGCCAAACCAGAAGAGUGAGGAGACGAGUAGAUUUGGGUGACUGGAGGUUUUCCAGUUGAGCGAUCGUUUGAUUCCAGGAGCGGUAAGGCCUGAUCCGACAUCUUCUUGCUAGUUGACUCCAAAGAUCGAAACUGAAUCUCCACCGGUGUGAAGAAGCUAGAAGGGUUUCACUAGGGGAGUUGAGUAACUACGUUCUGGAGUCACCCCCCCCAGUCUAUUGAGUUCCUAUGCAAAGUCAAGAUUUGUUCAGUUGAUUCUACCAAUGGAUGGUGUUACAUACCAUGUGCCAAGUGUUACAAGAAGCUCCAACGAAGAAUUUCAUCUUUCACUUGCAGUUCAUGUUUUAAUGCAACUGCUGUUAGAGUUGUCAGGUUCUCUAUACGCAUGCCCCUUAAUAUAUCCUUAUUAGCAUAGAGCUUUCUAUUAUUUGUACUUACCAAGUACUUCGGAUGGGAAUAUACAAGCUUUUUAGGAUA